CAUUUUGAGAUACUAAGUCAUUAUUUUGAGAUACUACGUCAUUAUUUUGAGGAGGUUUAUCAUUUCUUUGAGAUACUGUCAGAAAUGGGCUUCCAUACGUUCUUCCACUUCAGGAAUGCAAAAAGGUUUUUGUCAGACAAUUCAAGUUCAUAAUUUACAGUUUUAUGGUGACCAGGGACCAUUGCAUGGUAGGGUCACAUACAGUCACAGCCAAACACUUACCUGAAUAAGAGUUCACAUUCCCCAUAAACAUUUUUAAAAGUUUCAACAAUGUAUUUUCUUUCUGGAUAUUUAAGCAUUUUCAACUUAUGAAGCAGAUGCGAAAGAAAUCAAUAAAAUACAAAACAUAGGCUUGAAAAAAAAAAAAACAGCUGUAACAGUGACUUCGAAGGAAACAAGGCCACACAAGGUAUGGUCUAUGGUGUGACACAAGUGACCUACCUGUCAAGUAAAGCAUCCCCAUGUGUCAUUAUAAGGAACACAGCAAAGAACUUAAAAGCCACCUGCCACACUAACCGUGUAUCUUGGUGGUCUGGUAUUGUGCAGGUGUUUCAUUUUCUUCCUGUAUGUUGCCCUACCAACAAAGAAAGGAGAUACUGCAAGUUAACAUCUUGAGAAGCAAAUAAGGUGUCUGCAGUAAGAUGUGUCUGUAUUAUAGGAGUAUGUUUAUCUUAAUGCUCUGCGCUGAAACCUUGGAGGGGGUGUUAGAAGAUCAAGCACGUCAGUCUCGGUGGCAGUCUUUAAAAGUGGAUGACGAACAAACCAUCUUUCACAAUCUGAAGAGACACUCAGAUGGGACUUUCACCAACGACCUUACAUACCAAUUGGAUCGGCAAAAGGCUAAAGACUUCGUUGCUUGGCUGGCUAGCACCAAACGUGAGAGUCAACAGAAGCGAGGUCUCCAGGAAGGCAGGAUGAAGACUGGGGAGCUGAUCACUGGUCUUAAUCAGUUACGGGAAUGCAGCUAAAUGUAAAAAAAAAAAAAACUCUAUUAAAAAAUAUUUUUCCACGUAAAAAUUACGUUUUUAAUGUCAUUGUACUGUAGCUUUUUGUGAUAUGUUUCUUUUAUUCUUUGUGAAAAUGCAUUUGAUAAACUUUAAAAAACCUAAGGCUUUGAAUUGUUCUUCUCAUUCACAUAUGUGUUUCUGUUAGAAUGUAAAGUACACUGGGUGGUUGUGCGGUUAGAAAACGUCCCUUUGGAAAUUGGACACUUUGGUACUCCAGAAGAGUUAUGGUGCGAGUAUGUGUCAUCUCUGAAUGUCAUCAACAAACUAAAAACAAUUGUUUGGAUUGAGGGCUGCCAUCUGCUUUUCAUGACUUUCUUACUUGCCUUUGCCACUGUUAGAGAAUACACCUUUCGUAUUUCUAAGUUAACAUGGAUAGCCACAUAGUCAA